GAAAAAUUUACUUCAACAUACAAAUUUAUCUUUUCACUGCAACAAAACAUUAACAUGAGGCGAAGAAAUUGUUGAGAUUGAUAUUGCAAAUUAAAACUUUCAUGUCAACUACUUCUUUCUGGGUCAAAUUUUCCAACACUAUAAAAAGAUUUUAUUUGCUUCUUGCGUUUUGUUAAUUGAGGCUUUG